CGAUUACUGCGAUUCGUUAUCGUCAUUACCGGCACCGACGGUGCACGCCGGAUCGUUCUGGGGGGAAGGACGAAAGAGAGCGUGUGAGUGAUUGUUGCAGCCGCGGUUUGCGGGCGCGAGCGCGAAGGUCCUCCUCUUUCGACCUGGACCAGAUCAAAUGGAAGGAAACUGACGACGGCAACCGGAAAUUCGCCACGAGAAGGCAAAGAGGCGGCCAAGAGGAAGCCAGGAAGCAAGGAGGCCAGACAACCCCUUCGCGUGAUAAGAAACUCAGAGAGAGGGAAAGAAUAUCACCAAGUCAGUCGGUGCCCUUUGUUUUUCUCGCGCAUCUAACGAGGAUUUACCGUUGUUACAACUACCCGCGUUCUCGGCAGUCGCCACCAUCACGGACGCAGCAUCGGUGUGAAGAUCUCUCGAUGCCGGGGAAAAACGGUGGUAUCUCGGUUCCGGCAGGAGUCGUAAGGAUAAAGCAACGACGCUGUCUCCCGCAGGAACCAAUUUAGUCCUGUCAACUGUUUGAGAAUAACCUACGGCCAGAGGAGAAAUCUCUCGAUUUAUCAGCGCACUCAUCCCUGAGUCGCAUCGACAAUCUCGGCUGAUUCGAAAGUCUGCGGCGCGAGGAGGAACAAGUAGAAAAGGACGACGGCGAUCGCGGCUUGGCGCGGGGCGACGAGGUGAAGGAAGUCUUGAUAUAUCUGCCAAACACAAGAGGCCCCGAACACCUCGGCGGGAUUUAUCGGGACUACGGAUAAUGGAUGGCUUCGUGCAGCCACCGAGGA